rnacentral:piRNA from 1 species
GAAUCAGGCAAGGUGAUCGAUGGAUGUG